rnacentral:rRNA from 1 species
CGUAGAACCACUAUCGAAUAAGGGGUGGGCAAGUUCUGGUGUCAGCCGCCGCGGUAAAACCAGCACCUCAAGUGGUCAGGAGGANUAUUGGGCCUAAAGCAUCCGUAGCCUGUUUUGUAAGUCUUCGGUUAAAUCCACAUGCUUAACAUGUGGGCUGCCGGAGAUACUGCAAAACUAGGGAGUGGGAGAGGUAGACGGUACUUGAUAGGAAGGGGUAAAAUCCUUUGAUCUAUUGAUGACCACCUGUGGCGAAGGCGGUCUACCAGAACACGUUCGACGGUGAGGGAUGAAAGCUGGGGGAGCAAACCGGAUUAGAUACCCGGGUAGUCCCAGCUGUAAACGAUGCAGACUCGGUGAUGCAUUGGUUUAUUGCCAGUGCAGUGCCGCAGGGAAGCCGUUAAGUCUGCCGCCUGGGAAGUACGUACGCAAGUAUGAAACUUAAAGGAAUUGGCGGGGGAGCACCACAAGGGGUGAAGCCUGCGGUUCAAUUGGAGUCAACACCUGAAACCUUACCCGGAGAGACAGCAGAAUGAAGGUCAAGCUGAAGACUUUACCAGACAAGCUGAGAGGUGGUGCAUGGCCGUCGCCAGCUCGUGCCGUGAGAUGUCCUGUUAAGUCAGGUAACGAGCGAGAUCCCUACCAUUAGUUGCCACCAUUACUCUCAGGAGUAGUGGGGCGAAUUAAUGGGACCGCCGCAGUUAAUGCGGAGGAAGGAAGGGGCCACGGCAGGUCAGUAUGCCCCGAAACUCUGGGGCCACACGCGGGCUGCAAUGGUAGCGACAAUGGGUUCCAAAAUCGAAAGAUUGAGGCAAUCCCCAAACGCUACCACAGUUAUGAUUGAGGGCUGCAACUCGCCCUCAUGAAUAUGGAAUCCCUAGUAACUGCGUGUCAUUNUCGCGCGGUGAAUACGUCCCUGCUCCUUGCACACACCGCCCGUCGUUUCAUUGAAGUUUGCCCUUAACGAGGUAAUGUCUAAUUGGCACUAUCGAACUUGG